rnacentral:lncRNA from 1 species
CCAGAUCCUUGCACUCCUGAGAGUAGCCAAAUUUUCACAGAUGAUCAUCAUCCAAUAUUGCUGUUACUGAGUACAAUGUUCUCUCGGUUCUGUUUAUUUCACUGCAUGAGUUGCUGCAUAUCUUUCCAGCUUUUUUCUGUUGGCUCAUUAUUUCUUAGAGCACCCAGUGUGCAUUCUUUGAAGAGAUCGGAUUAAAAACUAACUCAAAAGAGUGUGGCUUGCUGUGGCAAGGUAUACAGGACUGAAAAAAAAGUAUUGUAGAGUUAGUUUAUCAUGAUCAAACUCCUAAACUUUUAUAAUGGUUAAUGCAUACUUACUACUCUGUUCUCUGGCAGCUGAUGAAGAAUUUUUGGUUGCGGUGUCAUUCAAAGGACUCUGUAAACCCUGGGAUCUUAGUACUCCUGGCAUGUGGUACUUGUGGCUACCCUUUCUUUGGCUCUAGUGAAAGCCCGGUGUGUAGGCUGAAGAAUUGAGGUUAAAAUCCUUAAUCCCUGGAACUCUAUUUACCCUCCUUCUGACUCUCCAUUGAAGAGGAACCCAAGACUUUCAUUUGAAUGGACUGAAAAAUAUUUUAGGUAAAAUUUAUAUUUAUAAAGUAGAGCUGUAAAAUAUUUG